UACGGAGGGUGCAAGCGUUAUCCGGAUUCACUGGGUUUAAAGGGUGCGUAGGUGGGCUAGUAAGUCCGUGGUGAAAUCUCCAGGCUUAACUUGGAAACUGCCGUGGAUACUAUUAGUCUUGAAUAUUGUGGAGGUAAGCGGAAUAUGUCAUGUAGCGGUGAAAUGCUUAGAUAUGACAUAGAACACCGAUAGCGAAGGCAGCUUGCUACACAAUUAUUGACACUGAGGCACGAAAGCGUGGGGAUCAAACAGG
rnacentral:rRNA from 1 species